UAACCAUGGCGGACGGGUGAGUAACGCGUAAGGAACUUGCCUGCGGGACCGGGGAUAACAGCAGGAAACUGCUGACAAGACCGGAUAAGGUCAUUAAGCCGCAUAGCUUAGUGAUGAAAGGAGACGCCUGCGGAGAGCCUUGCGUCCUAUUAGCUAGUUGGAGGGGUAACGGCCCACCAAGGCGAAGAUAGGUAGCCGGCCUGAGAGGGUGGACGGCCACAAGGGGACUGAGAUACGGCCCUU
rnacentral:rRNA from 1 species